rnacentral:rRNA from 1 species
UACCAGCACCCCGAGUGGUCGGGACGAUUAUUGGGCCUAAAGCAUCCGUAGCCGGUCAUGCAAGUCUUCCGUUAAAUCCAGCCGCUCAACGGUUGGGCUGCGGAGGAUACUACGUGGCUAGGAGGCGGGAGAGGCAAGCGGUACUCAGUGGGUAGGGGUAAAAUCCUUUGAUCCAUUGAAGACCACCAGUGGCGAAGGCGGCUUGCCUGAACGCGCUCGACGGUGAGGGAUGAAAGCUGGGGGAGCAAACCGG